rnacentral:tRNA from 1 species
UUUAAAUGAAACCAAAAUAGAGGUCUAUCACUGUUAAUGAUAAAAAUGAAUAUUAUUCCAUUUAAAG